UUGCUUUGGCAGCACAUAUACUAAAAUUGGAAUGAUACAGAGAAGAUUAGCGUGGCCCCUGCGCAAGGAUGACACGCAAAUUCGUGAAGCGUUCCACAAGGGG
ensembl:snRNA U6 U6 spliceosomal RNA